rnacentral:rRNA from 1 species
CCCUUAGAUGUUCUGGGCCGCACGCGCGCUACACUGACGAAUGCAACGAGCUUAUAACCUUGGCCGAAAGGUCUGGGUAAUCUCCAAAUUUCGUCGUGAUGGGGAUAGAUUAUUGCAAUUAUUAAUCUUCAACGAGGAAUGCCUAGUAAGCGCAAGUCAUCAGCUUGCGUUGAUUACGUCCCUGCCCUUUGUACACACCGCCCGUCGCUCCUACCGAUUGAAUGGUCCGGUGAAGCGUUCGGACCGUGGCCUUUGGACGGUUCGCCGUCUGUUGGCUGCGGGUAGUUCGUUAAACCUUAUCAUUUAGAGGAAGGAGAAGUCGUAACA